UUAUAUAUAGAAGUGAACGUUCUCUUAUGAAAAGGACAUAGAAUUAAAAAUAAAUUUUUAAAGGACCGGAGAACAAAAUCUUCCGUUUUCUUCGAUGUGCUGCUUAUCUGAGUAAACAAUUUGUACAUGUGAGACCAAUUAAGGUAAUACAAUAUUCUUUAUGACUAGUAAACAUACUAAUUAAUGUAUUCUAGAUUUCAUUAGUGAGGAGGACUAGAGAUUUAUUUCCUUGUGAUUUCCUAUUAAAAGGAGUAUAUUUUUCAAUCUUAAUUAUUCCAGGUGGUCAUAUUUGAUUUUGACCAAUAUAAUCGAAGCAUCGUUUUAUCCAUUUCAGCAGCAAUCCAUGUACAAAUUAAAAGUUGCGUUCAAUAUUCAAAUUGUUUUAUCCGCUUUAUUAUAUGCUUGUAUCCAUUUAUGUCUUUUACUGACAUUCUUCUUUCUCUUUUCCCAAUAAAAAUAAUGGAAUCAUUUACAGAUUCGUUUUCUUAUUUCUAUGCACGGGAGGGGGAAGACUGAAAGACAAAAAAGAAGAAGCAAUGAGUGCCACAGACUCACAGGGCCCAAGUAAUCCCAAAAGGCCAAAACUUAAAGAGGCAAAAGGACAUGACAAAGCAGAAGCAAGUUCAUUCUUCCCAUGCUGACAUUUCUUUUUGACAUUUUGAAUCAAACAUUGAUUAGCACUACAAAAAAUACCAACUAAUUUCAGGGGGGCGUUUGAUGGUGGAGAUGGGGGAUACAAUGGGUGGAGGUGAAGAUGAGGUGCCUUAGAGGAUGGGGAAGACACAAUCAAUGUAAACAUGUUUUUCCUACUUCAAAUAAGGGAGUCAUUUUCCUAAUUGUUAAGCAACUUCUUUUUUUUCCUGAAAAUUCUUUUUCUCCAUACCGAACA